rnacentral:RNase_P_RNA from 1 species
GGCAGAGAGAGCCCGGUUCCCGUGUCCCGCCGGUCCUACCGGCCGCGGACAUGAGGAAAGUCCCCCCACCGUCCGAACGGGUGACCGGGCGCAAGCCCGGAGUCGGAGACGACUGGCUCUGGAACAGAAACGAGACCCCUCGGCCCGACCGAUGAGACGCGCGGGUGGACGUUCGUCCACCGGCGGCGCGAACGGGGCCACCCGUUCGCGCGCGAACCGACCCGUAAGGGAAGGGAGUUGACCCGUCGAGGGUAGUGCGGCCGCUUUGCGGCCGCGAGACGGCGGCAGCCGUCUCUUUCCGCGCGGGUUCCGCCGCGCGGACGACGGCCGAGAACGGGUGGAACGGCGAAACCUCACCGGUGCAAGUCCGCGCCGCUAAGGUAGUUCGGACAGCGCGUUCGGGUUCGCCCGGCGCGCCCCCGAGAGGGGAGGACGUGGACGCUCAGCCGAAUGCCGGGUCGAAACAGAAGGGGGCUUACUCCUCUCAGCC